rnacentral:rRNA from 1 species
GUGAUCGAAAGAUGAAAAGCACCUUGAAAAGAGGGUUAAACAGUACGUGAAAUUGUUGAAAGGGAAGCGCUUGUGACCAGACUUGGGCGCGGCGGAUCAUCCGGGGUUCUCUCCGGUGCACUUCGCCGCGUUCAGGCCAGCAUCAGUUCGUCGCGGGGGAAAAAGGCUUCGGGAACGUGGCUCCUCCGGGAGUGUUAUAGCCCGUUGCAUAAUACCCUGCGGUGGACUGAGGACCGCGCAUCUGCAAGGAUGCUGGCGUAAUGGUCACCAGCGACCCGUCUUGAAACACGGACCAAGA